CUGAGUUGUUGGAGUUAUUUCCAUCACAGCCUUUGAACAAGUCAAAAUUAGACCUGUUCUGAUUCUAAUUCUUUCAUCAUUGUCACCCCACAUUUUGUAACAUGCAAUUUCUGGAAUUAUUUGUUAUAAGCCAUGUUCGUCUUUGAGAACACAGUGGUAGAUGUCAGAUCCUCACCUGUCUCAUCAGACCCAAAAGCUGCCAGACAUUGAGUGUUCCUCCUCUUACCAAGCUUAUAAGGCACGAGAUCAAAUAAAUGAAGAAUGGAGUGAGAACACUAACAUUAAUCCUGAUGUUGGAAGCAGCAGUGAACAUUUUAUCCGAUUCCCCCUUCCAGUCAUCUCACAACAACCUUUCAAUGAUAAAUAACCAACUAGAACUCAGACAAGAUCUACCCGAGCAAGAGCAUCACCCCAGGACUCUGCUUUGUCACUACUUGAAUGAAGCUUGCUGUGAAACCAAGUGUGACCUCCAGGACAGACAGCAAAGGCAAGCAGGACAGGAAAAGGGCAGAAUUCCAGCCAAGAAAAAAUUCUAA
rnacentral:lncRNA from 1 species